rnacentral:lncRNA from 1 species
AAACCUCUUUGUGCUGCAACAUGUAUUUCUACUGGUAGUCACCAGACACAGACCCUUUCUGCCUCUCCCUGUACACACCAAAGAGCUAAAACUACAGACUGCAUUGUAUGAAGGAGGACUGCUGCCUACCUUAGGUCUAUGCAAAUCCCACCUCCUGGGCAGUAUUUUAAAACCAGAAGCUGAAGCUGGCAGUCUUCUAUCAGAGACCACGAGGGCUAUGGAUGGGCUCUGUGCUCUUGAGCCACGGGGUGAAUGGUGCAGUCGAGACCUUUCAGGUUGCUCAUGUGGCUACAGACACUGAAUGGACUACCAAGGGUGUCCAUGUUGUGGGCAAAAAGAAGUACGUAUGUUUUCCAUAAACAAUCAAAAACUCUCAGAUCCAGGCAAGUUCAGCUUAAAGAACUCCCUUUUCAAGGGACAAUUUGCCUGCCAAAGAGGAGUGUAUUUUUCAUAAAGCUUUUGGAACCUGCCAGCCUCGCUGUAAUCCACUUGACUGAUGCUCCAAUUCUCUUUAAAGAGCAGAUCUGCAUCUCAACGACUUCAGAUGCAAGGAAACGGUGAAAUUCCAGGAACUGAGAGCCAUCAGGGCACUGGCAAACGCAUUGACAUCCAUGAAAAGAAAUGGAUCGGGAGCUACCCAGCAUGCUUGCACGGUGAAAGAGGGCUGAUUGAUGGAAGCACAAUAAGACCAGGGUUUUAAACAAAGACAGCAUCAAAUUUCCUGUAGAAAAUGGGAACCGUUCUUGAAAGCAGUGGUUUUACUAGCAAAGAUCUUUGAACUUUUUGAAGCCAGCUUAUGUAGCUGUGCUCACAAAAGCAGAGACAGUCAUUUACCUGAAACAGGAAACCCAGCCUCUCACCACGGAGCAGUCCCCUGACAAAGGCACUGAAAAACACACUUCUUCUUCCCUGACUCUGGUAGGAAAGCCCGUUAUGUCCUUUAUAUCUGCAGAAGGGGGAGAAGAGAGGGAGAGAUCCCCGUUACGUGGGCAAGCAGUGAAUUCCCACCAUCAUCUUUCUCCUGGCCUUUGCCAAAGGCUCUGUGUUGCUUUGGGGUUUGCUGAGCAGGGAGCAAGGAGCAGUGAGCUGUUUUCUUUUCCAAAAAGCCAACCAUGCUCUGCAGCCAGCAUCUGAGGGUGGAAGCCAAGCGAGAAAUCUGAGCAGAGGCUGUGACGGCAUGGCCUGGAGUACGGGGACCCGAUGUGCAGCGGGGCCUCUCCAUGCAUGGAAGCAGUGCUGGGCUGAUCUGGAUCACUUCAGAAAAUGGUUUCACUAGACGAGUUCAAAAUGCAGAUGCCCAUAUGCUGGCUUUAAUUUAGUUUGUAGUCGUUUUUGCUCUCCUUGGAAAAUCAGAAGCGCAAGCUACACUCAUGUAAAGGUUUCUUUGGAUAUCCACACAUCCCACUUUUACUGAGACACACUUAAACCACUUGUUUAGCUAGACCAGGACAGCUUUGUGCACCACGCAGGCAUUAAAGGGAUCGCAGGGCUCUGCUGAGCUCUGGCAGGAGGGCUGAGCUUCAGCUUUUAGCCAUGCAUGUAGCAUGAAGGGUUGUACCUGAAACUCUGCCAGGGAAUCAUCCAUUCCUGGUGCUCCUUCUGUUAGGAUUUUACAGGGGUAGGGUGGGGUUAUGUUCAUCGCCUUGAUGAAAAAGUUCAGAUUAAAAAUUUUUAAUAUGAUUUUUGGUAUUUUCCAAAAAAAAAGUUCCCAUGCUGUGUCUCAGAUUCAUGAAAAUUUGGAUGGUACCUUGCAGAACAGCACAACGAUCAUCAGCUUCCUCUAACACAGCUUAUGCCUUGAUAAUAAAUGGCUUAAUAAAAUAGCAGUAGUCAUUUCUGUUUGUACGAACCACUUCUCUGCAUGAGAGAUGCUUAAGAAUAUCUCAUGAUAGCAAUAUGUGAAAUGCAGAUCCAUCCCUUCUGGUAUGUUGUUGCUGUCCUGUUCACAUCCAUUUCCUUCACCCUCAUAUACAACGUCUUUUACCUUCCCUUCCUUUGCCAUUACUUUCUUAUUAUGAACCCCUUGUGAAGCAAACUGUUUUCACUGAACACAUACAAAAACAUGUAAAUGUCUAUGUUUAUUCUCCACAAUUGUGCCUCUACAUAAUUGUGCCAUAAUUGAGCCAGCUUUGCUUUUGCCUGUAAGAGAUCCAUUUGCACACAAAGGCUCUCUGUGUCUUAUCUAUUUUCUUUGGCUUUAUUGCUUUGAAUAAAAUGUAAACACCAAAGUCUCUGUGUGGCUGUGCUUUUCAUUGCAUCUCAUUUCCAUACAUCAGAUUUGUUAGCUAGUCAUACCCUGUGAUUUAUGGCAUCAGAAAAAAUUGAGACUAAUCUAUCAGCCCUGUCACUGAAAAAACUUACACGUUAUAAUGUCUAGAGAAUUGCCCUUCAUCAAACAAUUAGUUAAAUUGCAGUGUAUUUAAUUAUUGGUAAACUUACUGGAUACUGCAGCACAGAACAGUCAAAACCCCUUCAGAAAUCAUUUUCCUUGUAAAGCUGGUUCCGUGUGUCAGGAUAAUAUUUGCCACUGCAAGCUUCUCACCCUAGUUGAGCAGAGUCUU